AACGUCACUAUAGACGUAUUAUACGCAGUAUUCGUUUCGUGUUGUAUUGAUGGAACGUUUGAACGAAGGAAAAAGUUUAAAAAAUAUAUUUUGAUACAUAUUUGUGAACCAUUAGGCGUGUUUCGAUUAACAAAUAAUUAACAAUAAUUAUCGUAAAAGCAAAGAAGUCGAAAUAGUUUCAGGUCAAGUUUGAAAAAAAUUUCGAAGGUUAAAAAAUGCCGGAUAUGUCUAGUAUAUCCCAUUAUCCCUUAAAGGUGAUAUUUGCAAUUCAUUUAGUCCUAGUAACAUGGGGCAUUCAGGGACAUUGGUGUCCAAAAUCUGUAAUGUUUUACAAUUUCCUUUUCUUCGUCUGCUUAUUGUGGGCUAUUCAUAAUAUCGAAUCAGAUGAACCUCUACAAUUUGCACUUUUUAUAAAUGUACUUUCCAUAUUUUUUGAUGUAGUAACAUUAGCAGUCUAUUUUCCAACAACGUAUGCAUCUGAGAAGUUUAGUGCAGCGAUUAUGAUCUUAAACAUGAUUGCUCGCAUCAUCACAAGCAUAUAUCUUCUACGAAUAGGCCAAGCAAGAGGUGGAUGUUUAGCCACAAUGUUCACUACAAAUCCUGCAAUGGGUCAGUAAUACAUUGGAUACAGAUGUUUUGUAGGCCUGCAUUGCUUCUUCAAAAUUAUGCUUUAAGCUUUGGUCGACAGGAUUACGAGGACAUAUCUCAUCCGAUUCCACAAAAUUCCGAUUUUGCUGGAGUUUAAAAAUAGAACAUGACGUUUCUAAAAUUCGAUACGUCGAAAAUUACGCGAUUUCAUUAUCGAAUCUCUCGUAGCUCGUAAGAAGUACGCGCAUCUAUAAUCAUGACAUUAAAAUCUAUUUUAUUUAUUGUAUAUAUCAGGAUUUUCAAUAUCGAUUAACAAUGCAAAAUAGAAAGAAAUUUAUGUAUAUAAACAUAUAUAAACAUGCAAAUAACAUUAUAUAUCAAAACGUGAAAACGCAAAGAAAUAUAGAAUAAUAAUAACAACAACAACAACAAUAAUAAUAAAUUUAGUUAUUCGUAUUUCAUACGUGAAAUCUAUUAUGUACUCGCAACAUGUGAAUAAAAAUCUUCACCGUAACAAAAUGCCCGAA